rnacentral:rRNA from 1 species
GGGUCAGUAGGUUGGUCGUGCCACCGGUACGUACUGGUCUCACUGAUUCCUCCUUCCCGAAGAACCGUAAUGCCAUUAUUUUGGUGUUGCGGGGAAACAGGACUGUUACUUUGAAAAAAUUAGAGUGUUUAAAGCAAGCUAACGCUUGAAUACAUUAGCAUGGAAUAAUGAAAUAGGACGAUCGAUCCUAUUUUGUUGGUUUCUAGGAUUGACGUA